rnacentral:rRNA from 1 species
UACGUAGGGUCCGAGCGUUGUCCGGAAUUACUGGGCGUAAAGAGCUCGUAGGUGGUUUGUCGCGUUGUUCGUGAAAACUCACAGCUCAACUGUGGGCGUGCGGGCGAUACGGGCAGACUAGAGUACUGCAGGGGAGACUGGAAUUCCUGGUGUAGCGGUGGAAUGCGCAGAUAUCAGGAGGAACACCGGUGGCGAAGGCGGGUCUCUGGGCCGUAACUGACGCUGAGGAGCGGAAGCGUGGGGAGCGAACAGG